CGUUAGCGGCGGACGGGUGAGUAACACGUGGAUAACCUACCUAUAAGACUGGGAUAACUCCGGGAAACCGGGGCUAAUACCGGAUAACACAUGAAACCGCAUGGUUUCAUGAUGAAAGAUGGUUUUGCUGUCACUUAUAGAUGGACCCGCGGCGUAUUAGCUAGUUGGUAAGGUAACGGCUUACCAAGGCAACGAUGCGUAGCCGACCUUAGAGGGUGAUCGGCCACACUGGAACUGAGACACGGUCCAG
rnacentral:rRNA from 1 species